GACGAACCGAGCGAACGUUGUUCGGAAUAACUGGCUUAAAGGGCGCGUAGGCGGGCCGCCAAGUUCGAGGUGAAAGUCCUCCGGCUCAACCGGAGAACUGCCUCGAAUACUGGAGGCCUCGAGGCGGGUAGGGGCACGCGGAACUGUGGGUGGAGCGGUGAAAUGCGUUGAUAUCCACAGGAACUCCGGUGGCGAAGGCGGCGUGC
rnacentral:rRNA from 1 species